rnacentral:lncRNA from 1 species
CCCUAGCUUCAUCUCUCUCCCUCUCCACUCGGCCCUUAAAUCCCCAAAUACCAGAUGCCACCCCUUCGAUUCCGGCGACUGCACAGCCAUAGGCUGCCGCCGCCGAGCUCCAGAUCCACGUCUCUGUCUCACUCUCUCCUCUACUCACCCCAGCCGACGACAACAGUGGCGCCGAGCCACCGCCGACCGUACCGCCCCCAUCUCCCUCUGACUUUCGGCGAACAACAGCGAGAAGCCGUCGCUGCCCUCCCCUCUACUCUCGAUCCCUGCCGACUCCACACACUCACCACCCUCUCGCUCCCUCACCAAACUCCGGCCGCCGUGCCGCCUCCUUCCCCGGCGAGACAGCCACCGGUCAACCAUCUCCCUCGCCCCUAUUUCUCUCGACUCCGCAGUCGACAGUAGCAGCAGCGAAGAGCCGACCACCACCGCCUCUUCUCUCAUCUUCUCCGCCGCCGGCCACUGACUCGACUCUCAUCACAGCAAGCAUACACUCAACAUAUACAUGUAAAAGAUAGCUUAUUCCCUUUAAAAAGCUUUGAUUAGCAAUUUGCAGAAAAUGCAUAUGUGUAUGAUAUGCAAAUCAAAUUAUGUCUAUGUCUAUGUAAUCGGUGAUUAUCUUCUUUGUGAAAUGAAUGACUGAUUAUUGAGUG